AUCGUUGCUGCUCCUUAAUGCUUGCGGUUCUGUUAUUCUCAGCAUUCUGAGACCAGCGUCCACUGAUAAUUGCAUCUCCACUGAACAAAGAAAGAUAAACGUUAUUAUUAAUGAGUGUUUCUGCGUUCUCUGACGUUUUGGAAAACGUGGUAAGGGACAUACCGAUUGGUAGAGGGCUGAGGUAAGGUUUAAAGACAGUGCAAAGAGUGAAAACAAAGAGAAGAGAGGCAAUGAAAGCUCCAUAGCCAAGUCUCUUCGGCUCGUUUCU